CCCUGACAGCACUCCUCAGGAGUUUGAGGAGGAGUUUGUGGAGGAGCAAAAUAAUGCUGCAGAUGUGCCCCAGUUGCGGCGUUACUUUGAAAACCAAGGGACAACCAACUUCUCUCUGAGGCUGGCCGCUAUCAGACG